rnacentral:tRNA from 1 species
GGGACGGUAACUCAGCCUGGGAGAGUGCUACGCUGAAGCCGUAGAUGUCACGAGUUCAAAUCUCGUCCGUCCCA